GAUGAACGCUGGCGGCGUGCCUAAUACAUGCAAGUCGAGCGAACGGACGAGAAGCUUGCUUCUCUGAUGUUAGCGGCGGACGGGUGAGUAACACGUGGAUAACCUACCUAUAAGACUGGGAUAACCUCGGGAAACCGGAGCUAAUACCGGAUAAUAUUUUGAACCGCAUGGUUCAAAAGUAAAAGACGGUCUUGCUGUCACUUAUAGAUGGAUCCGCGCUGCAUUAGCUAGUUGGUAAGGUAACGGCUUACCAAGGCAACGAUGCAUAGCCGACCUGAGAGGGUGAUCGGCCACACUGGAACUGAGACACGGUCCAGACUCCUACGGGAGGCAGCAGUAGGGAAUCUUCCGCAAUGGGCGAAAGCCUGACGGAGCAACGCCGCGUGAGUGAUGAAGGUCUUCGGAUCGUAAAACUCUGUUAUUAGGGAAGAACAUAUGUGUAAGUAACUGUGCACAUCUUGACGGUACCUAAUCAGAAAGCCACGGCUAACUACGUG
rnacentral:rRNA from 1 species